rnacentral:tRNA from 2 species
NGGUUAGAGCACAUCACUCAUAAUGAUGGGGUCACAGGUUCGAAUCCCGUCGUAGCCACCA